AACUUUAGGUGGCGGACGGGUGAGUAACACGUGAGAAUUUGCCUUUAGGAGGGGGAUAACAAUUGGAAACAAAUGCUAAUACCCCAUAUGCUUUGAGUGAAAUGGAUUUAUCCGCCUAGAGAGAAGCUCGCGGCUGAUUAGCUUGUUGGUAAGGUAAGAGCUUACCAAGGCGACAAUCAGUAUCUGGUUUGAGAGGACGAUCAGACACACUGGAACUGAGACACGGUCCAGACUCCUACGGGAGGCAGCAGUGGGGGAAUUUUCCGCAAUGGGCGAAAGCCUGACGGAGCAAUACCGCGUGAGUGAUGAAGGCCUUAGGGUUGUAAAGCUCUUUUACCCGAGAUGAUAAUGACAGUAUCGGGAGAAUAAGCUCCGGCUAACUCCGUG
rnacentral:rRNA from 1 species